UUAGAUACCCCACUAUGCUCAGCCCUAAACACAAACAGUAUUUAUACAAGAUUGUUCGCCAGAGAACUACAAGUGAAAAACUAAAAACUCCAAGGACUUGGCGGUGCUUCAAACCAACCUAGAGGAGCCUGUCCUAUAAUCGAUACCCCACGUUCUACCUUACCACCCCUAGUACAUCAGUCUAUAUACCGCCGUCGCAAGCCUACCUUAUGAAAGAAAAAAAGUAGGCAAAACAACUAAUGCUUAGAACGACAGGUCAAGGUGUAGCACACGGGCUGGCAGAGAUGGGCUACAUUCUCUAAAUAGCACACAGAAAACAUGUUGAAACACAUGCUUGAAGGCGGAUUUAGCAGUAAGAUGGACAAGAAAAUCUACCUAAAACCUGCUCUGAAGCGCGCACACACCGCCCG
rnacentral:rRNA from 1 species